rnacentral:tRNA from 1 species
GUAAAUAUAUAUAAUUACAUUAAAAAUAUAAUAUAUGUAACAACUAUUGAAAAAUUUAUGUAUAAAAUGACUAUUCAGUUAUUUUUAGUGAAAAACUAAAACAAAAAAAAUGAUUUGAUAUAAUUUUGAUCAAUUUAAUAUAAUUUGUGAUAUUCACACGAUGUUAUCGUUUGGAUCUCUCAAAUAAAGGGCCCAAAUAUGCCUUCGACUUUGGUGCUGUAGGGUUUGCUACACUUCCCUUGGGCUUGAAGCGUGAUAGUGCUUGCGGGCCGCUUGGUGUCUUAUGAGUUAGUUCCUUGGAGAUGGAAUGGCUCCUAAAAUUGGUCUCAUUCAAGAAGUUAAAAUGACAUUAAUUUUGAAAAUAUCGUCGCCAUGCAAGGCAACGGCAUAUGUAAUCAAAGUUUUAAAUAGUGAAAUUGAAGGAAAAAGAAUAAACAUAUUUCUUUUGGAAAAAAUAUAUCAUUACAAUUGAAAAUUGAAAUAUUGUGGGUGAACAGUGGCAAUCCCUAAAAGUUGCAGGUUAGAUGCAAUAUUAGUAUAAAGAAAAAGAUAAAAUUACUCUAUCGGUUGAGGACAAUAGAUAAUACGAAGGACAGGAGUAGCCAUCCCAGCAAGAAAUACCCCACCAGCCUCGUGGGUUCCACAUCUUCUGGUUCCUGUGGAGGCGGCGGCUGUGUUGGUGGCGUUAACGUGUCUGUUUCAAAAGGCCAUGUAUAUCUCUCUGGUUUUUCACUUCUGGCCAAGCUCCAAUCAUACAUUCUCCUCUCUUCUUCCGAUGAUAGUAUUGAAUACGAUUCUUUUAAGUGUUCCAUUUUCUGUCUGACAUCUUCCUCAUCUAGUCCCUGAUUCAGCAAUUCUUCAACCUUGCUUUUAUAUGCAAUUGUAACCUCUUCAAAUGAACAUCCUCUUUCAAUCCCAAGUCUUCCGUAAUAAUCUAUAUCUGUAAUCGGUAUGCCGCGAAGAGCCCUCUCCACAUUAAGAGCAGAAAUCAAAGACGGAGGUCCUUCUGGUGCUUCAAUGGAUGUCUCUAACUCUUCUACUUCUGUAGCUGCUGCCUCUGUUGACCCAUCACUGGAGCUUCUAAUAAGAAAUCUACGUGGUCUUGCUGCAAAAGUGAUGGAAUUUGAGAAGAAAGCGCCUUUCCUGGUAGUAGGAAUGGGAAAAUUUUGCCUGGAAAUGUACACAGUCGCUGCAGUGGAUGAGACAGCCAUAGUUUGGCGAUCUCUUUACAUCAGUGCAUAUUUGGGUCUCUUAUUACACUGACAAAGAUAAGGCAAAGGCGUUUCGCCACUCGAAUUUUAUCCAGUGCCCAAAAGAAGCAAAACAAAUUACGUAAGGUCUUAGAUAUAAGGAAAGGCAACCAUCAAAGUCGUUGUAGUAUAGUGGUGAGUAUUCCCGCCUGUCACGCGGGUGACCCGGGUUCGAUCCCCGGCAACGGCGAUUUUUCUUUUUUAUUUUCAUUUCUUAUGAAUCUGUUUACCUGUAAACGGCGUCGCAUAAGGAUCUUUGUUUCUAUCUAACAAGCCGUCGCUUAAAUGCUUCGAAAUGGAUGAGGCUUGGAGCACCGUCGUCUUUCUUCUUUGUGACUGUGUACUCUCAUCGGAAUUUAUUCCAUUUUGGAGUUUUAUUCAAGUGGCCUAAGCCAGGAAGGGUAAGCUGAAUCUGAUAAAAAAGAGAAGGGUAAGCUGAACGAUAUGGGAAUGUCAAGGAACGCGCAAUUGAAUUCGGCCAGUGACCCUGGGCCGAGUGGAGAAUCGGGUCCGACCAUCGCCUUCUCCAGUUGUAAUGAACCGCGAAGGUUCCCUCUGGCAGCUCAGCCGGAGAUAAUGAGAGCUGCCGAGAAGGACGACCAGUACGCCUCCUUUGUUUACGAUGCCUGCCGCGACGCUUUUCGCCACCUAUUCGGUUCCUCUUCUUCACCUUUUACCUCCUCCAGUUCAACUUAUUAUUUUCUGUUCUUGUGAAAAUUAAUAUCUGGCUUUCCUAUUCUGUUUAGGUACAAGAGUCGCUGUGGCUUAUCAGAGUGAGGUUGAACAGAUUUUCACAAUUUACGGUUGGAAAGACCUCUUUUUUUUUCAUUGUAUGAUGAUGAAUUCAGAUUUAUGGUACUAUUUUUAUUCGUUUUCGCAGACAAAGCUUCUCGGGCAGAUGCUUUAUUACGUAUUAACAACAGGUUCUGGGCAGCAAACUCUUGGGGAGGAGUACUGUGACAUUACUCAGGUUGCAGGGUCACAUGGACUUCCUCCAACACCUGCAAGGCGCGCUCUUUUCAUUUUAUACCAGACGGCAGUUCCUUAUAUUGCAGAAAGAAUUAGCUCAAGAGUUGCUUCUCAUGGCAUCACUCUUGCCGAUUCAAUGUCUGAGGAACCUGACAGCAACUAUGCUCCAGGAAGCAGUCAGAUCCAGACUUCUGUAAUGAUUGAUCUCCCAUCUUCCUCCACCACAGGGGCAUCAGUUUCUUUACUAUC